AUUGAACGCUGGCGGCAGGCCUAACACAUGCAAGUCGAGCGAGCGGCGGACGGGUGAGUAAUGUCUGGGAAACUGCCUGAUGGAGGGUGAUAACUACUGGAAACGGUAGCUAAUACCGCAUACCAUCAGAUGUUCCCAGAUGGGCUGAGCUAGUAGGUGGGGUAACGGCUCACCUCGGCGACGAUCCCUAGCUGGUCUGAGAGGAUGACCAGCUACACUGGACCUGAGACACGGUCAAGACUACUACGGGAGGCAGCAGUGGGUAAUAUUGAACAAUGGGCGCAAGCCUGAUGCAGCCAUGCGGCGUGUAUGAAGAAGGACUUCGGGUUGUAAAGUACUUUCAGCGGGGAGGCGUUACCCGCAGAAGAAGCACCGGCUAACUCCGUGCCAGCAGCCGCGGUAAUAC
rnacentral:rRNA from 1 species